UACAGAGGGGGCAAGCGUUGUUCGGAAUUACUGGGCGUAAAGGGCGCGUAGGUGGCCGACUAAGUCAGACGUGAAAUCCCUCAGCUCAACUGGGGAACUGCGUCUGAGACUGGCCGGCUUGAGUGCAGGAGAGGAACGCGGAAUUCCAGGUGUAGCGGUGAAAUGCGUAGAUAUCUGGAGGAACACCGGUGGCGAAGGCGGCGUUCUGGACUGCUACUGACACUGAGGAACGAAAGCCAGGGGAGCAAACGGG
rnacentral:rRNA from 1 species